UAGGGAAUCUUCGGCAAUGGGGGGAACCCUGACCGAGCAACGCCGCGUGAGUGAAGAAGGUUUUCGGAUCGUAAAGCUCUGUUGUUAAGGAAGAACGAGUGUGAGAAUGGAAAGUUCAUGCUGUGACGGUACUUAACCAGAAAGGGACGGCUAACUACGUGCCAGCAGCCGCGGUAAUACGUAGGUCCCGAGCGUUGUCCGGAUUUAUUGGGCGUAAAGCGAGCGCAGGCGGGUAGAAAAGUCUGAAGUGAAAGGCAGUGGCUCAACCAUUGUAGGCUUUGGAAACUGUUUAACUUGAGUGCAGAAGGGGAGAGUGGAAUUCCAUGUGUAGCGGUAAAAUGCGUAGAUAUAUGGAGGAACACCGGUGGCGAAAGCGGCUCUCUGGUCUGUAACUGACGCUGAGGCUCGAAAGCGUGGGGAGCGAACAGG
rnacentral:rRNA from 1 species